rnacentral:rRNA from 1 species
GAAUGAAAGCGAGCCGCGCCAAGCGGUAUCAAUUUCAAUCAAACUCCGAAUUCCGAGAUGCUUAUUCUGGGAGUCAGACUGUGGGAGAUAAGUUUCAUGGUCAAAAGGGCAACAGCCCGGACCGCCAACUAAGGUCCCUAAAUUCGCGCUAAGUGUUAAAGGAUGUAGAGAUACUUAAACAGCUAGGAUGUUGGCUCAGAGGCAGCCAUCAUUUAAAGAAUGCGUAACAGCUCACUAGUCAAGUGUCUCCGCGCCGAAAAUUUACCGGGGCUAAGCGCGAUACCGAAGUUGCGGAUAUUUCUAAAGAAAUGUGGUAGGGGAGCGUUCCAUUAGCAUAGAAGCCAUACCGGAAGGAGUGGUGGAGCGAAUGGAAGUGAGAAUGCCGGCGUAAGUAACGAUAAGAGGUGAGAAUCCUCUUCACCAUUUGACUAAGGUUUCCUGGGCUAGGUUCGUCCACCCAGGGUCAGUCGGGACCUAAGACGAGGCCGAAAGGCGUAGCCGAUGGACAGCAGGUUAAUAUUCCUGAACCCGGUUGUGUGCGAUCGCAGUGACGAAAGCGGUUAGGUUUACCCACGAAUGGAAGUGUGGGGAGAUAGUGAUAAGCUGUCGGCUAGAAUCCGACACCAAGUGAAACACCGAAGUACGAAAGGGGUGACCUGAGUAGGAAGUAGCUGAUACCGAUUUCCAAGAAAAGCUGCUAGCUUAAGCACAAUCGGCCCGUACCGAGAACGGACACACGUGGUCAAGGAGAGUAUCCUAAGGUGAGCGAGAUAACUGUUGUUAAGGAACUCUGCAAAAUUACUUCGUAAGUUAGCGAGAAGAAGUGCUCCGUAAAAGGAGCCGCAGUGAAGAGGCCCAAGUAACUGUUUACCAAAAACACAGCUCUAUGCUAAGUCGUAAGACGAUGUAUAUGGGGUGAAGCCUGCCCGGUGCCGGAAGGUUAAUAGGAGAGGUGAAAGCUUUGAAUUGAAGCCCCGGUGAACGGCGGCCGUAACUAUAACGGUCCUAAGGUAGCGAAAUUCCUUGUCAGGUAAGUUCUGACGUGCACGAAUGGUUUAAUAAUUUGGGCGCUGUCUCGACAGCAGACUCGGUGAAAUCUUAAUACCGGUGAAGAUGCCGGUUACCCGCGACUAGACGGAAAGA